UGUUAGGUGACCGACGACAGGUGAUAGAUUGUAGAUCUUUUUAUGGAAUUAGAUUUCCCCAACAA
rnacentral:tRNA from 1 species